GACGGAGGGUGCAAGCGUUAUUCGGAAUUAUUGGGCGUAAAGAGUGUGUAGGCGGCCGGUUAAGUCAGGUGUGAAAGCCCGGGGCUCAACCUCGGAAGUGCACUUGAUACUGGUCGGCUUGAGUUCGGGAGAGGGAAGCGGAAUUCCUGGUGUAGAGGUGAAAUUCGUAGAUAUCAGGAGGAACAUCGGUGGCGAAGGCGGCUUCCUGGACCGAAACUGACGCUGAGACACGAAAGCGUGGGGAGCAAACAGG
rnacentral:rRNA from 1 species